rnacentral:lncRNA from 1 species
GGGAGGGAUAGAGAAACUGAUGGGGUUUGUCUACUCUGAAAUAUUUUGUUUAAUGUUGAAGUGAUUGACCAACCUCUCCCUCCAUCUCCCCACUUGUCUCUCUUCCUCCAGGAAAAUAAAAAAGCCAAUCCCAGACCUUUCCACGUUGUUCACUGGUUCCCUAGCAGAGGUCUCGUGCAGGCAUGCGAGGCCAGCCCUGUGCUUCAAGCUGCAAGUCUGAAUUUCAGACACCUGCACAGCACUGGGGCACUGGCAGGAGGUCACUUGUGCACCCUGCUUUUGCUGCUGGAGAGGGACAGCGGGGCAGGAUCGAGGUUUGAAGGAAGAGGCAAUGGAAGAAGAUGAGCAGACAAAUACUGUAUUUCAGCAGACCUUUUCCAACCUUGAGUCCAAAGGAAAGAAGAAAAAAUAAUAAAAGACUGAAAAAGGCUGCUGUUUCUGCCGUGGGAGAGGGACGAGUUCCCCCAGGGGCUGUCAGUACCCAGCCCAGACAGGAGAGCACCACUGGAAAGGAUUAGAAGCCAUACGAAUUUCUGACCCCCUGCAGGGAUCUCCACUGCCGUCUGUCAUGAGUUUGACUGCUUCUUCAGUGCCGGGUCCUUAAAACCCUUUUCUGCACACAGCAGGAUCUCAUGCAUAGCCGUUCCUGACACCAGCACUUCUCUCAGCCUGCAGACUUGGAGAACGAGAUUGCCCCCAAAAGCAAGUCGUCAUCUGCCAAGUCACUGCCCAGACUUGGCUCACUGUCAGUGCCGGGGCAGCGCUACCUGCUGCAAACGGUGGAGAGGUGCAAAGGCAGGGUAGCACCUCACCCUUCGGGGAUUUUCAGCCGCUCUGACCCCCGUGCAGCUGCCGGCUCCAGCAGGAGACAUCUCUCUUCCUCUUCUCCCCACGUGUCUUCCACAGGGCACCGUGGUAAACAAGCAUGAGCAUCGAUGAUACUGCACAGUAAUCCUAGGGAAGGGGUGUUACCAAAGGGCAGAUUUCUCAUCCUCUUCCUCUCAGGUUUUUAGGGUACAGUUGCACACAGGUUAUACCUGUAACUACCUUGAAACUUUAUCAAAAAUCUCUCCCUUUCCAUUCCCCCAAUUUAAAUGUUACAGUCUUUUUCCUGGCUUUAAUGGCACCAGUUCUCAUCAUGUGUGGUCUUCCAGUGACAUCUAGGGACUGAGACUGGAAACAGCAACC